rnacentral:rRNA from 1 species
AGAAUCAACGCUGGCGGCGUGCCUAACACAUGCAAGUCGAACGAGAAAGUGGAGCAAUCCAUGAGUACAGUGGCGCACGGGUGAGUAACACGUGACUAACCUACCCUUGAGUGGGGAAUAACCUGGAGAAUCUAGGCUAAUACCGCAUAACACCUACGGGUCAAAGGAGCAAUUCGCUUAAGGAGGGGGUCGCGGCAGAUUAGCUAGUUGGCGGGUAAUGGCCCACAAGGCAGUGAUCUGUA